GACGAACGCUGGCGGCGUGCCUAACACAUGCAAGUCGAGCGAAGAACUUCGGUUCUUAGCGGCGGACGGGUGAGUAACACGUGGGUAACCUGCCUCAAAGAGGGGGAUAGCCUCCCGCAAGGGAGAUUAAUACCGCAUAAUAUUAGAUCUUCACAUGGAGAUUUAAUUAAAGGAGUAAUCCGCUUUGAGAUGGACCCGCGGCGCAUUAGCUAGUUGGUGAGGUAACGGCUCACCAAGGCGACGAUGCGUAGCCGACCUGAGAGGGUGAUCGGCCACAUUGGAACUGAGACACGGUCCAGACUCCUACGGGAGGCAGCAGUGGUGAAUAUUGCACGAUGGGCGAAAGCCUGAUGCAGCAACGCCGCGUGAGUGAUGAAGGCCUUCGGGUUGUAAAACUCUGUCUUUGGGGACGAUAAUGACGGUACCCAAGGAGGAAGCCACGGCUAACUACGUGCCAGCCGCCGCCGUAAGAC
rnacentral:rRNA from 1 species